GAGGUGUGCUCAAGCACAUUCCCUGGAGAAUGUCUUCUCUGUUCACAGCACACCCAAGAGGAAUCUGGGCCAUCAUAAGGAGAGCACAGCACUGGGUCCUCUCUGUGACUUGAUGCCCUACAUGU